UACGUAGGAGGCAAGCGUUGUCCGGAAUCAUUGGGCGUAAAGCGCGUGUAGGCGGCUCGAUAAGUCUGCUGUGAAAGUCCAGGGCUCAACCCUGGGAUGCCGGUGGAUACUGUCGAGCUCGAGUCCGGAAGAGGCGAGUGGAAUUCCUGGCGUAGCGGUGAAAUGCGCAGAUAUCAGGAGGAACACCGAUGGCGAAGGCAGCUCGCUGGGACGUGACUGACGCUGAGACGCGAAAGCGUGGGGAGCAAACAGG
rnacentral:rRNA from 1 species